rnacentral:rRNA from 1 species
CCUACGGGAUGCAGCAGUGGGGAAUAUUGCGCAAUGGGCGAAAGCCUGACGCAGCGACGCCGCGUGAGGGAUGAAGGUCUUCGGAUCGUAAACCUCUGUCAGCAGGGAAGAACGGUCACUGUGCUAAUCAGCAGUGAAUUGACGUUACCUGCAAAGAAAGCACCGGCUAACUCCGUGCCAGCAGCCGCGGUAAUACGGCGGGUGCGAGCGUUAAUCGGAAGUACUGGACGUAAGGGGCGCGUAGGCGGUAUGUCAAGUCAAGGGUGAAAUGCCCGCGCCCAACGUGGGCACUGCCUUUGAAACUGGCAGACUGGAGUGUGUGAGAGGAAAGUGGAAUUCCAGGUGUAGGGGUGAAAUCCGUAGAUAUCUGGAAGAACAUCGGUGGCGAAGGAGACUAUCGGGCACAUAACUGACGCUGAGGAGCGAAAGCGUGGGUAGCAAACAGGAUUAGAUACCCGAGUAGUC